rnacentral:lncRNA from 1 species
UUUUUUUUUUUGCAUAACUAAGGUGGCUUUGGGAGAACUUCUAGAAAACGUAGCUGGGGAGUCCCUGCAUCCUUGAGACCACAGACUUGGUCGCUAAGUCACUGAGAGAAGUCUCGCCACAGCCAAGUUUUGCUGGUCACAGCAGUGCACUAAAUGCUGGACAUUUGUCAGGAGCUUGAGGAUCAAAAGGUUACUGAACAUUUCCCACUUAUUACUUCCUAGACUUUCUGUUCUGGCUUUUUCCUCUCUCCCUUGCUGUGCUCUGAACUCCAGGCAGACGAUUUUAUGUUUAUUGUAGAAUGAACCGAUAAAGGGAAAUGGUGGAACUGGGAGGACUUUCUGUUAACGUGACUCAUAAACUUUAAUGGUUUAUUACCCUGAAAGACAUCCAAUUACCACAGCUCUAAUAUCUUGCUAAUCUUGUAUUAAGUUUUUUUAAAGGGCAAAAUGUCAAUGAAUAGUAGUAUCUCUACUUUCCAUUUUCUGAAAAUUAAGCUGAAUCUUAAAAUGAUAUCAUGAAAGUAAAAUGCUUAACUCAUCAGAUUAGAGUAUGGUUAACACAUAAACAUUUUCCUACUAUUAUUUUCCAGGUUAACUUAGAAUUCCUCUUUCAACACAUCAUAUCAUAGAAUAAUUUGUCAACAAGAAUAUUCAGCAUGACUUAAGGAAACAUCAAGAUAUUCUAAAUUUCUUAAUGUGAGAAGCACUCUGCAUUUGCUGGUCCACAGGUAACAUAAAGCAGAAAUGUUACUUAAACUUAGAGAAUUUUUUCCUCAGUUGAUCAUGGAAGAGAGGUAACACUGCCCUUUGAAAUAAUAAUUGGCUACUUUUUGUCAAAUUAUAUUUAUAAAUGCAUAUGUAGAAAGAUAAAAUAUAACCAAAUCAGCAUGAUGUUACCUCAAGUCUGAUUUUUGUCAACUAAUUCUAAAUCAUAAUUAUGCCUAAAAAUUGACAAUGGAUGAGUAUUUUUCUCUAAAAUUUCUCUAGCACAACCAAGCACAAAGUAGUGGUUCUAGAGGUUGGAUUUAUUAUAACUAAAUGAAAUAAAUUUGCAAUUUUCCUCAAUAUUCCCUAAAGGUAAAGAAUGAGAAUUUACACUUGGAAUUACUUCUAGGUUAUUAUGUUUCUAACACAGUAAAUUGGCCCAUAGAAGCAGUACCCUCUACUAACACCUAACAAAAAAAUUGUUUCUCAUUCUGAGGAGAUACUAUCUUCAGACAUUCCAAGUUUUGAGUUAUAAACAUCCAGACCCCUUAAAGAAGAAAAACAAAAACAUUUUCAGUUGGGAAAAGUUUCACUAAGCUUUUAUUGUCUUAUCAAACUGGAUGUCAUGAAACUAGGUUUCAUUUUUCAUUAAAGAUGGAACUUUGAGUGGAGGGAAAUAGAUUCUUACAUAUGCUCUUUACAGAUUAACUGGAAAAAAUCAAUAUAUUUUCUUUUUCAAAAUAACACAAGAUUAUAGAAGAGAAAGGGGAAAUCACCCAAAUCCCACUAUCACUUAGAUAAAACUAGUUUUAAUUUUUUGCUGAAUAUCCCUCUAAGUAUUUCAAAUUAUGAUAAAAUAUACCUAAAAUCUACCAUUUUAAUCAUUUUAAGUAUACGACUCAGGCAUUAAGGACAUGCACAAUGUUGUGCAACUGUUGCCAGAAUUUUUUCUUUCUUUCUUUCAAACAGAAACUCUGUAUCCAUUUGUUAUGGAUUGAAUUAUGUCCUUCAAAAAGAGAUAUUGAUGUGCUAACCCCAGUACCCCAGAAUGUGACCUUUUUCGGAAAUAGGGUCUUCAUAGAGGUAACGAGAUGAGGCCAUCAGGGUGGAGCCUAACCCAAUAUAGCUGGUGUCCUUA